rnacentral:sRNA from 1 species
UAGCCAAAAUUUUCUUUCUGCUUCCAGUGUCAGGCGGUGUUGUUGAGAUUAAAAGACAGGACUGCGUUGAACACUGCACUCCAGGUACUAAUGAAGGAUGUCACCCCUACCAGAUAUGUAUCGCUAAUCACGCCGUUGGGUGUGGUACUUCAUGCCAUUACAUACUGCCAGGGAAACGGGCCAUCUGUUUAGGCGCCAUGUGCAAUGUGUAUUGCCCCUAUGGACACAAGCUCUCAGCAGACGGAUGUCCAAUGUGUGCUUGUAAUCCUGGUCCAGUUGUUUGAUUGACAAACUUUACAAUUACACUGUAAAUGCAAAACAUUUGACAAUUGACAAACCUGAA